rnacentral:sRNA from 1 species
UAUUAGCCCCGAUUGCAGUGGAAAUCCUUGUUGCCCGGGGUUCGGGUAACAAGAUUGCAACGAAAAGCGGGAGGAUAC